CUCCUGAGCUGCCUGAGCUCAGUGUAGAGAGGAUGAGAGGGGUUGUUCAUGAUGGCUUUAUCACCAGCUUGCUAAGCUUGUUUGCACCCCCAGUGCCGAUGCCUCCCCCCCAACAGACCACCGUAAAGAAGAGGACACUGGUACUACUACUACUACUACUACUACUACUACUACUACUACUACUACUACUACUACUACAGACUGGUAGAACAUCUGUAGUAGCCGAGUGCACACAUUGAAUGACCUGAGCCUCCUCAGAAAGAACAGCCUGCUCUGUCCUUUCCUGUAGAGGGCCAAAGUGUGAUCCGUCCAGUCCAGUUUAUUGUUGAGUGUCACCCCCAGGAGGUGUGUAAAUAUUCACAUGACCAAAUAUCUGAAAUGGAGUUUUCAGCCAACAGCAGCACUUCAGAGCCAUGAUACAGCUGAGAAACAGCAAAGCGACUCUGCUCUGACACACACUGACAUUGUGGACACAGUUGUUGGCUGCAGUUUAUUUGUUUACAGUGGUUCAGUCACUUCCAACACUAUGUCAGAAACAGAUUUGAACCAGUGUGACAGGGAACAAAACCAUAUGUUAAAGAGAAAUCCACCAAGACCACAAUAUGUGUGAAAUGGAUCAGGCUUUUUAACAGAUAUCUAGAUUUGUGUUUUCUUACUCUUAGUAGUAGUAUGACAGGACUCUGAUGUUUGAUUAUGUUUAGCUCCAGCAGCACCCUUGCAGCUUCCUGCAGCCACAGGAGAGCCUCCUCCUUCAGCUGCUCCCUCACCUCCUCCACCAGCUGUUCCCUCACCUCCUCCAUCAGCUUCUCCAAGCACGGAGCGCAGCAGCCGGCCACAGGUGGAGAAACCCCGUCGCUCCAGUGUGGACAAGGAGAUGAAGCAGAGUCCAGACAGGUCCGGCAAGUCUCCUCCCCCUCCUCCUCCACGCAGGUUCCAUGCUGUCAGCUCAGGUCUUACCACAGGAAGGUCAGGAGAGGUGAUUUCAACCUCCAGGAAAGAGCCAGUUGGAGCCCAGAAUGAUGAUGAGAAAGAGAAAGUGGUGGUUCCUCAACCCAAACCCCCAAGACAGCCCCCAGAGGUCAAACCCAAACCCCAGAUGUUUCUGGCCAGUUCCAGCCCAACCCCUGCGACAGCCAGAGCACACAGGGACGAGGAGGAGGAAGAGGAGGAGGAAGAGGAGGAGGACAACAAAUUCAUGAAAGAGCUCCAGGUAUGUUCAGUAAUUUGCUGCUUCUUAAAACUUAAGCAGAUCAAAUACUCUACCAAGAAAGCUACCCGGACCCAGAUAUGACAGGACUGAGCUGUCUAUAGGAUCUGUAUUCAUUGCAUACCUGUUCCUCUGACCCAAUCCGUCUCUGGGAUCUUUACCCUCACCAUGGACCCUCUCCCUUUCCCACCCAGGUGUUUCAGAAAUGCACAAUGAGGGAUUUAGGGAGCGUGGUUAAACCCUCAGACUCUGAGCUCCAGAGCAGAGAGAGGGAACCUAAGGUAAAAAGAAAAAAAAAAAAACUAACAGCACUAAUAAUUAAUGACUCAGUAUCCAAACAGACAAAGUAACAGGCAAAGUACAACUAUGUACAAGAUGGUUUUAUGACUUACUCUGUCAGAAAAUGAUGAUGAUGUUGUUAUCUACAAUGAGUUAAAAAUCUGUCUUUGUGCUUGUUUUGUGGUUUGCGGUGAAUAGUUUCCUGCUUAUAACUCACAACAGCUAGAAAUUCUGGAUUAACAUCAUUGAGGUCUUUACAAUGACCAAGUUUUCUGCUUUAUUUGGUCAUUACCUGAUCUGAUUCAUAGGUAUAAACAGUUGAUAAAACAGAAACAAUUAUUUAUAUCACACCCAACAAACAUUAACAGUUCAGGUGGAAAAAGUAAAUGAAUCAUUGUAUAAUAUCUGGCUGAACCUCCUUUGGCAGCAGUAAAUGGUAAUGGUAAAUGGACCUGUACUUGUAUAGUGCCUUUUUAGUCCUCCGACCACUCAAAGCGCUUUUACACUACGUGCCACAUUCACCCUUUCAUACACAUUCACACAGUGAUGACAAAGCCCAUCGAACAGAAACUAACUCAUUCAUACACAUUCACAUGCACAGCAUCGGGAACAAUUUGGGGUUCAGUAUCUUGCUCAAGGAUACUUCAACAUGUGACAGGAGGAAAACACCUUAGCAACUUGGAGGGCACAGUGUUCUACAUACAGAAGUUAAUAUAGUCCGUAAUGCAGUGGGUCAUACUGUCAAUGUCAAUGCCGGGGGGGCUGCCCAAUCUGUUGUCUCAAAGCAGUCUCUGAGCCUAGCACUGGUCUCCUCAGACCACUCUUUCACGGGCCUCUUCUCAGGUGGUUGUUUAUUCACCACAGGGGUGUAGUCUGUGAUCAGAUGGACAAGGUUGUGAUCUGAGCGACCAAGCGGGGGGAGGGGGGAUGAGGUGUAUGCAUCCUUGAUGUUUGCAUACAACAAGUCCAAAGUUUUAUUGUCCCUGGUGUGGCAUUUCAAGUACUGGGUGAAGGUGGGGAGAGCAGAGGACAGGGAAGCAUGGUUGAAGUCACCGGAGAUGAGGAGGGAUUGGGGGUUCUGGUUUUGAAGCUGGGAGACGACAGUGUGGAUCUGAUCUGUAGCUGCAGCAGCGACGGCCGAGGGAGGGAUGUACACAGUUACUGCAAUAACAUGUGAAAACUCCCUCGGAAGGUAGUACGGCCACAUGCUAACCGCUAACAGCUCCAAGUCUCUGGUGCAGAGUUGCUCCUUAACACUGAUGUGUGCUGGGUGGCACCAUCAGAGAAAUCCAUUCUGUGCAAGAAGCCCAGGGGACGUGCUACGGUAAGCGCACUGACUCACUUCCGGUUUACUUCCUGCUCUGUGUACACUGUUUGGUGCUGUAGCUCUGUCAGUGAACGCUAAAUAUAAAUUAGUUUUACUCGUUACAGCGGUUAUUUACCCGCUUAACAUUUAAACGUAGACUAGUUCUACUUAAACACUUGGAGUUUCUCCCUCUUUUAGGGACUUUUCACUACUUUCAAAGUUUUUCAUACACUCUAGUUUC
rnacentral:lncRNA from 15 species